rnacentral:lncRNA from 1 species
CCCUUCCAGAGCACCUGAGAUCACCCCUAGUUUUUGGUGGGGUUCGUGUUGUUUUUUCUUUCGUUUUCUAUGUUGUGUCGUGUGUACUAUUGUUUGUCUGCUUGUCCUUUUUAUUUUUAGCCAUGGCGUUGUCAGUUUAUUUUCGAUUUAUGAGUUUGACUGUCCCUCUGGUAUCUUUCGUCCCUCUUUUACAAAGUUUGGUAUUACUUCGACUGCUACUAGGUCUGAAAUAAGUUAUUGUAUUUGUAGCCCUCUUCAAACAAAUGUAUUUGUUAUAACAUAUCCUUAAG